UACGAAGGGGGCUAGCGUUGCUCGGAAUCACUGGGCGUAAAGGGUGCGUAGGCGGGUCUUUAAGUCAGAGGUGAAAUCCUGGAGCUCAACUCCAGAACUGCCUUUGAUACUGAGGAUCUCGAGUCCGGGAGAGGUGAGUGGAACUCCGAGUGUAGAGGUGAAAUUCGUAGAUAUUCGGAAGAACACCAGUGGCGAAGGCGGCUCACUGGCCCGGUACUGACGCUGAGGUGCGAAAGCGUGGGGAGCAAACAGG
rnacentral:rRNA from 1 species